AUCACGUUGUCAAAAUUUUCUUCAUGACUAAUAAUGUAAUGAUCUCAGACAAAAUCUGUCUUUUCUUUUGCUAAAGAUCAUACGAAAUCUAUGUUCACGUCCUGUCAGCCACACAACUUUAAAAUCUAGUAUAUGCAUAAGUCCAGGGAAAAAUCUAGGCUAACUCCAAUAUGGCGACUUCUCCCUUGUCUGUCACCUCCAAACCACCAUCAGUCACCCGUCUACGCCACCAACGUCCACCACUAACCCCCGUCCGUGUCAGUGCUGCAGCCGUCACUACAACUACCGGGAUGCCAGACCACCACCACCCUUCACUCGAAAUCACUGGUGGAGGAGCUGAUCGCUUUCUCCCUGCUUUCAACACCCUUCACCUUCAUUACAAGCCUUUCCCCAUCAUUGGUUGGAACCGCCAUCUUGAGACCAUAUUCGCUGCCUUCUUCCGUACUGUCCCCGAAGUUAAGUACCGCCGUGAGUGCCUCCGGACCCAAGACAAUGGCACCAUAGCCUUGGAUUGGGUCUAUGGUGACCACCGCAGCUUGCCUUCCGACUCUCCGAUCCUCAUUUUACUGCCAGGGCUAACUGGAGGGAGUCAAGAUUCAUAUGUGAAGCAUAUGCUGGUGAAAGCUAAGAGCAAAGGCUGGAGGGUUGUAGUAUUCAAUAGCAGGGGCUGUGCAAAUAGUCCUGUUACUACUCCUCAGCUCCAAACAGCUUCAUUCACAGCAGAUACUUGUCAUGUAGUAGAUCAUGUUUCAUCUAGGUACCCCAUAGCAAGUAUUUAUGCUGUUGGUUGGUCUCUUGGAGGCAAUAUCCUUGUCAAUUACUUGGGAAGGGAGCACCAUAGGUGCUCUCUCUCUGGUGCUGUAUCACUCUGCAAUCCUUUCAACUUAGUGAUUGCAGAUGAAAAUCUCCGAAAGGGCUUCAACAAUAUUUAUGACAGAGCACUUAGGGGAGGUCUUUCUAGAACUUUUGAAAAACAUGCUUCCCUCUUCGAAGAAAUGCAUGAUGAAUAUAAUGUCCAAGAGGGUUUGAAUCCUCGUACUGUACGGGAAUAUGAUGAAGCAAUAACACGAGUGUCAUUAGGUUACAAGUCAGUGGAUGAAUAUUACUCAAAUUCAUGUAGUUGUCAUGUUGUACAACAUGUCCGGAUCCCUUUGCUUUGCAUCCAGGCUGCAAAUGAUCCAAUUGCGCCUAAUGAGGCAACUCCUUACUCAGAUAUCAAGGACAACCCUAACUGCAUGCUGAUAGUAACACCCCAGGGUGGUCAUUUAGGCUGGGUUGCCGGUGAUGACGCACCCUUUGGAGCUCCCUGGACUGAUAAUGUGGUGAUCGAAUUCCUUGAACAUCUGCGAAAGAAUGCAUCUAAACUCGAAUAAUCUUGAGCUAUGGAGAUAGAAAACUCUGCGGCAGGAUUCAGAAGGCUUGCAUCAAACAAUAACUAGAAAUCAGAGUUAAAACAGUGUGAAGAACAGAAAGGGAAUUAAAGAAGAAAACAGGAGGUGGGAUGCAUUACUGUGGGAAGAAGAAACUUUUAUUGCUGUCAAAUUGCAAAAUGAGGAACUUGACUCCAUGAGUUCUGUAUGAGAACUACAUAAAAUCUUAGCUACAAAAAAAUGUUAUUAUUUUCAGUCUA